UCAGGACGAACGCUGGCGGCGUGCUUAACACAUGCAAGUCGAACGGAAAGGCCCUUCGGGGUGCUCGAGUGGCGAACGGGUGAGUAACACGUGGGUGAUCUGCCCUGCACUUUGGGAUAAGCCUGGGAAACUGGGUCUAAUACCGAAUAUGAUCACGGGCUUCAUGGUCUGUGGUGGAAAGCUUUUGCGGUGUGGGAUGGGCCCGCGGCCUAUCAGCUUGUUGGUGGGGUAAUGGCCUACCAAGGCGACGACGGGUAGCCGGCCUGAGAGGGUGACCGGCCACACUGGGACUGAGAUACGGCCCAGACUCCUACGGGAGGCAGCAGUGGGGAAUAUUGCACAAUGGGCGCAAGCCUGAUGCAGCGACGCCGCGUGAGGGAUGACGGCCUUCGGGUUGUAAACCUCUUUCAAUAGGGACGAAGCGCAAGUGACGGUA
rnacentral:rRNA from 1 species